rnacentral:lncRNA from 1 species
UAACGAAAGCAAAGUCCAACAACAUUGACACGAGAACGACGAAGGAGGAACGAAUAACGCCGACUUGAUUGCGAAGAUAUACACAUGUAUGUAUGUGUGUACAGAGACUACAGUGGACACGAUGUACGGAGUGGCGACAUCGGUGGGGCGUGCAUUGACUGCCGGCGCAGGCGAGACCAGCAGUAGCAGGCAAAGGCAGCAUUUCAAAUAUUUCACUCUUUAGUUGGCGCGACUGGCAAGCGAAACUACGAAACGCUGCGGCAAAGCAAAGGCAAAACGAGACAACGGCGGCAGCAGCGGUAACAACAAGCGUCAUACAUACAUACAUCAUAAGUAUAUGUAUGUAGAUAUUCUAAGUGUGCUCACAUGCGGAGCUCGAAAGCGCGAAAAACGCGAACGCAGCACUCAGAAGUGCUCAACAACGCGGCGGCGGUGUAUGCCAGCGAUUUCGGUGUGGAACACCAAAUCUCGGUUCUCGGUUCUCGAUUCUCGGAUUCUUCAGUUUAUUUCUUAAAUUGCCAAAAAUUCAGUUCGUUUCAUUUUCUGUAGUAUGUUUAUUUGAAAAAAAAAAAAUUGUUCUUAAAAUUUUAAAAAUAAAGUGAUUGGUGGAAAAUUCUUUUGCGUGUCACAAAUUUUGGCGAAAUAUAAUUGAGUCAAAAUAUAUAUACAUACAUAUAUAUAUAUAUACAUACCUGCAUUAAAGCAUAAGAUAAAAUUGCAAUUCAACACAAAUGCAAAAACAACAAAAAUAAAGUAAGAAAAUAAGUUUAAAGUAAAGCAACAAAAGAUAUAUUUUAAAAGCGCUUAUAUAUAAAUUAUAAAAAACUGAAAACAACAACAACACUAAUAAACAACUAUUGCUAAGCGCAAAUUGCAACAGCAGCAACAAAAAUUGAAAAAAUAAACAAAACUAAAAUAUUACAACAACUUAGAGGCAAACUAGCAACAACAAUAAGACAUACCUGCAACAGAAGCAUACAAAAUUCAGUUACUUAGCAUGCGCCCUUCCAGCAGAAUAUAGAAAAUAAUAUUAAAGCAAAAAAUAUUAAAAAAAUA